GAUGAAGAACGCAGCGAAAUGCGAUACGUAAUGUGAAUUGCAAAUUCAGUGAAUCAUCGAGUCUUUGAACGCACAUUGCGCCCCCUGGUAUUCCGGGGGGCAUGUCUGUCCGAGCGUCAUUGCUGCCCUCAAGCACGGCUUGUGUGUUGGGCCCCGUCCUCCGAUCCCGGGGGACGGGCCCGAAAGGCAGCGGCGGCACCGCGUCCGGUCCUCGAGCAUAUGGGGCUUUGUCACCCGCUCUGUAGGCCCGGCCGGCGCUUGCCGAUCAACCCAAAUUUUUUAUCCAGGUUGACCUCGGAUCAGGUAGGGAUACCCGCUGAACUUAAGCAUAUCAAUAAGCGGAGGA
rnacentral:misc_RNA from 1 species